AUUGCAAUCUUCAUAACAUUCUGGAGUAUAUGCAAAUUGCCAUCAUACAAACUGAGGCAGCAGACUUUGUGAAAAUAAAUUGUGUGAUUCUCAAAACGUAUGGCCACGACUGUACACUGUUAUCAGUAAGUGUUUCUGUGUGUGUAUGUAUAUAUCUGUGUAUGUACCCGUGUGUAUGUCUGUGCGUGGUCAUGUAGAAGGUUAUGCAAUGCCUCACAAGCAUUUUUUUGUUUAGUAUACAUUAUACUGUGUAUUAUAAAAGUAUUGGAGAUUUCUUUCAAAUGAUCGAAUUAGAAAGAGUUUGUCCUUCUGUUCUCAUUAGCAGAUAAACCUAGCAGAUCCAAUAGUCCUAAAGAUGAGUCAAAGCCUGAGGGUAAGAAGACAGUGGCAUUCACCUGGAAUUCUGCCACUUAGCAUCCUUUUCAUUGUUAUCCAGAAGUGAACACAACCAAUGCUAAUGUGAUCUGUGUAUGAGAAUGCUAAGCUCAACUUCUCUCCUCUCUUCUUGUCAACUAAAGGCAGUGAUGUAGUCCAGUCAGAACAAGGCAAGUCAUCCAGUUAAUUUAAGGCUGUACAAACAGAAGCAACUUCUUUAAAGAUGGACUAUACAGAAAUCAUUCCUCCAUUUCCUGGGUGAUAUAAUUAUAAAAGUGUACAUAAUUUCACUUUGUGACAAAAUAAGCAGUCAUUGUGUAAAAAAUAUUUUGAAUAACCAAACAUAUUGUGUAUUCAGCUGUUUGAAGCUGGUGUACAAAACCCGAAACGGGAAGCAUAGAAAUACCACACAUAGAAUGCUUCUGAUACUUGCUUUCAACGGGAAUGAAGGGGAAGAGGACGCAGACCAAGCUGGGCAGGGGAAGGAAGAUGCCACUCCAUUGAAGUAUAUCGACCACCAGUAAAGAAUCCAGUAUUUUAGGAUGCUGGUGGUCUUCCUUGUGGGGUAACUGAGGAGCAGAAACAUGGGGUUUGAAGGCUCUCAGUACAUGACUCCAUAUCUGUUACAUUGAGACAAACGACCAAGAAGAGAGAAACAUGUUUGAACUGUUGGAGAUGUUUUAAAUGAAAUGUAAAAUGAGGGAAAACAACAGGCGAACAUUGCACAAAGUAACAUGCAUGGAAUCAGAUGAAGUACAGUGAGCUACGAAGUAUUGGCACAGACAUCUUUUGUUGUUUUGGCUCUGUACUCCAGCACUUUGAAUUUGAAAUUAUACAAUGACUAUAAAGUUAAAGUACAGACUGACAGCUUUGAUUUGAGGGUAUUUUCAUCCAUAUCAGUUGAACCGUUUAGAAAUUACAGCACUUUUGUACAUCGUCCCGCCAUUUUAGGGGACCUAAAGUAUUGGGACAAAUUCACUUAUGUGUAUUAUUGAGUCACUUUUAUUCUAAAUAAGAAAAUAAUGUUUCUAAACACUUUUACAUUAACACGGACGCUACCAUGAUUACGGAUAAUCCUGAAUGAAUCAUGAAUAAUGCAGUGAGGAGUGAGAAAGUUAGAUGCAGAGGUUAGCAAGUCUUGGGUGUCUGAUAUUUGUGCGUCUAACUUUCUCACUCAUUAUUUAUGAUUCAUUCAGGAUUAUCCAUAAUCAUGGUAGCAUCCAUAUUAAUGUAGAGGUGUAAAGAAACAUAUAUUCUAAUUUACAAUAAAAGUGACAGAAUACAUUAUUUACCAUUCAUUUCUAUUGGGCACAAAUUAAUCUGCAAA